rnacentral:rRNA from 1 species
UACGUAGGGUGCAAGCGUUGUCCGGAAUUAUUGGGCGUAAAGAGCUCGUAGGCGGUGUGUCGCGUCGGCCGUGAAAACCUGCAGCUUAACUGUGGGCUUGCGGUCGAUACGGGCAUCACUGGAGUUCGGCAGGGGAGACUGGAAUUCCUGGUGUAGCGGUGAAAUGCGCAGAUAUCAGGAGGAACACCGGUGGCGAAGGCAGCUCGCUGGGACGGUACUGACGCUGAGGCGCGAAAGCGUGGGGAGCGAACAGG